GGGAAAUUGACUACUUCUGCCUUUGCCUUAUGUUACUCUCCCUGUUUAUCUUCUCUGUUCUUUACAUGCAAUUCUGUUGCUCGGCAUUCGCCACAAUCACUUGGAUUAAAACUCUAAGGUUCGUCAGUAGAAAAUGUACACGUGAAGAAACUCCUACGAGGGAAGCCAUAGUUGCUUCUGUAGAAGCUUAAUGUCCCCCUUCACAGCAGGAGCUCCUCCCCUUGUGUUUCUUCUGGACUUUUGCCUCCAGAUUGAUCUUUCCUCUCUCACCUACAUGGAGGGACUCUAUCUUCUGCAGACUACAGCAGAUUAGACACUGGAGAUGCAGUGCCAGUCUCAUGGUCUUCUGCAGCAGAUGUGGGGAAUUUUCCUUCUUUACGUUUCCUUGACAAUGGGAGGCACUGUGGGACAAGACAUUCAGCAACCCACUGAGUUGACGGCUAUGGAAGGAAACUUUGUCCAGGUGAACUGCACGUACCAGACAUCUGGGUUCAACGGGCUGUUCUGGUACCAGCAAAGUGAUGGCGGAGCACCCACAUUUCUCUCUUACAAUGUUCUGGAUGGUUUGGAGAAGAGAGGUCAUUUUUCUUCAUUCCUUAGUCUCUCUAGUGCGUCCAGUUACCUCCUUCUGACGGAGCUCCAAAUGAACGACUCUGCCCGUUAUCUCUGUGCUGUGAGAGACACUGUGACUAUGAAGCCUCUUCAGCUGCACCAAAUUCAAAAGAAAGAAUUGUGAAAAAAGUGAAUGAAAGAACAUUAUAGCAAUUAGCUAAAUUUCCCCUGCAUAAUUGGAGAAAAUUGGU